AUAACGCGCGCUCUGAUUGGUCAAUUACCGUUUUAUAUAACUGAACAUAGAUCGUGAGGAAAUGACGUCAGCAACGCCAGUUAAUCGUGAUAGCACAUGACGGGCAGUGAUUUCAAGCCAAAGAAGAUAUCGAGAUUUAAACAUUUGAUUGAUACACUGAAGCGAUUGGACAGUUUCCUUCUAUGUCUUCUUUGAAAGUAUUGAUUCCUUCAUGGCCGCCUCGUGAGAAGCCAAUUCAGAAGAUGCUAUGGUUUUGAGUGUUCUGUUUAGUUCUUCCACCACGCUUGCUUCGUGUUCCGUGCCUUAACUGAACUCGACGUCCUUAAUCCGUGAAACAGACGUAAAGUCUAACAGAUUGCCAUGUUGUUGCCAGAAACUCCCCAUUAAAGCCUUUAUUUUAAGACUGGGCGGUAAACUCCUACGCCGACCCUCAGUACAUACGAUGCCGCGUAGCCCAACCAACUGGGACGUUCGUCGUGAUCAGAUGAAAUAAAAGUAAGUAUCUCCACAAAUCAAAAACUUUUCCCAUUAGCAGCAAUAUUGAGUGGAGUAUUGAUACAGCGAAUGGAAAAAGUGAUUUAUGAUAUUCAAAUGUCAUUUCAAAUCAAGUUGAUUGAAGAACUUUAUUUGAAAGAACGUUAUGAUCCAGUCAUCUUAUUGGAAUGGUCAAUACCGUAUGAUUAAUUUAAAAUCUAUAUUACUUUGAAGGUUUUUAAAUGAAAUACUCGCAUUCUGAAUAAGUAAGGAUGGAACUUGGUCUCUUUCUAUAGUGCGUUAGUUUCGACUUGGAUUUACAAUAACGAAAAAUGAAAGUUUAGCUAAACAAAAAAAAAAUUAAAUUUGAGGGGGAAAGAAAGAAAACAAAAAUAUGCGGGCAAAUUUCAAGUUAACGCGUACGUUCGUCGCAUUUUUAUUUAUGUAUAAAUUACAGGUUUCGCUGAAUCCAUAAACUAAUUACGAUUUUGAGACG